GAUGAACGCUGGCGGCGUGCCUAAUACAUGCAAGUCGAGCGAACGGACGAGAAUCUUGCUUCUCUGAUGUGAGCGGCGGACGGGUGAGUAACACGUGGAUAACCUACCUAUAAGACUGGUAUAACUUCGGGAAACCGUAGCUAAUAGCGGAUAAUAUUUUGAACCGCAUGGUUCAAAGGUGAAAGACGGUCUUGCUGUCACUUAUAGAUGGAUCCGCGCUGCAUUAGCUAGUUGGUAAGGUAACGGCUUACCAAGGCAACGAUGCAUAGCCGACCUGAGAGGGUGAUAGGCCACACUGGAACUGAGACGCGGUCCAGACUCCUACGGGAGGCCGCAGUAGGGAAUCUGCCGCAAUGGGCGAAAGCCUGACGGAGCAACGGCGCGUGAGUGAUGGAGGUCUUCCGAUCGUAAAACUCUGUUAUUAGGGAAGAACAGAUGUGUAAGUAGCUGUGCACAUAUUGACGGUACCUAGUCAGAAAGCAACGGCUAACUACGUG
rnacentral:rRNA from 1 species